AUAUGUGUAUUCCCACUCUGUUUUACCGGAUUGCAAACCCCCCUCUCUCUCAAUUGUUUGGCCUCUCACCUCUCUUUCUCUCACUAAAAUGCUUGGCAACUGUACAUCGCUGCCCGAUCCGUACGGCACAGAUAUGUUGUUAUCAAUGAUACAAAGGGGAAUGUGUGGUGUUAGAGAGAGAAACGGGGUAGUGGGUAUUGCACCACCGUUGCCGGAGGUUCCGGCUUCAAGUCGAUGUAUGAAUAACUUACGAGCUGGGAGAUGGUGGUGUUAUCAUAUGGCAGCAACGUUUGCGAGUUCAAGGGCGUUUACGGUGAGGCUUUUUGCGGCUAAUCUCAAAGGCUAGCAGAGAUAGAUGUCGAAAUGAUCGGGGUUGGUGUUACCGCUGAGGCUCAGAGCAUCUUUAAUGGUUUGUCGAAAAUGCGUCUAUGUCUUCGUUUGAUAAAUCUCACAGAUGGGAGUGACUCUGGUAUUACUCGCACUCUCGCCUUUAUCGUUCAUCGAGCUGAGCUAAUUUCGUUAUUUUUUUUUAUAGAUGGAAUGGAGCACAAUAGUUACCCUGUUGGUGUUGAUGUCGUUUAUACAACCUCAUUCAAGAUGCUUUUUAUUUUUUGAGGUUGACAUGUGGAUAUAUGAAGUUCCAUUCUUUUUUUUAUCUUUCUAGAGAUUGUAUUCAAAAGGAUCUGAUUAGUCAACAAGACCAACAAGACCUGCACAACCUAUGAUAGUAAAUUAUUAUGUUAAUUUUAUGACAGGAUGUUCAAGUUUGGAUGAUUCUUUGACGCGAUGAAUUUUGUUGAAUCAAUCAAAUUUGGUGGUGUGGACUAAUCUGGAUGUGUUUGAAACUGAUUAUAGGUUAUAAUGAUUUGUAAUUUUGCUUUGAUCUCAACAAUACGCUCUUAGAGCAACUUUUCUGUAUAUAUAAUAAGAUUAUUUUGACAAUGAAUGCUCAUGAAGAUGAAUGAUUAUUAUGACUAAUGACUACACUUUA